rnacentral:misc_RNA from 1 species
AAAAUGCGAUAAGUAGUGUGAAUUGCAGAAUUUAGUGAAUCAUCGAAUCUUUGAACGCACAUUGCGCCCUUUGGUAUUCCUUAGGGCAUGCCUGUUCGAGCGUCAUCUAAACCUUCAAGCCCUGCUUGGUGUUGGGUGCCUGUCCCGCCUCCGCGCGCGGACUCACCUCAAAUCCAUUGGCGGCCCCCGCGUCGGCCACGAGCGCAGCAGAAACGCGAACUCGUGAGCCCGUCCGGGCGGCUCCCAGAAGCUACACCCACCCAGUUUGACCUCGGAUCAGGUAGGGAUACCCGCUGAACUUAAGC